rnacentral:rRNA from 1 species
AGCAGCCGCGGUAAUUCCAGCUCCAAUAGCGUAUAUUAAAGUUGUUGCAGUUAAAAAGCUCGUAGUUGAACUUCGGGGUCUACCCAUUGGUCAGGCUUAAUUGUCUGCACUGGUGGGAUGGAUCUCUACCUUCUGAGGAACUUUCAUGCCAUUUAUUUGGUGUGGUUGGAAAUCAGGACUGUUACUUUGAAAAAAUUAGAGUGUUUAAAGCAGACUAUCGUCUGAAUACAUUAGCAUGGAAUAAUGAAAUAGGACGGACUGAUUCUAUUUCGUUGGUUUCUAGGAUCACCGUAAUGAUUAAUAGGGAUAGUUGGGGGCAUUAGUAUUCAAUUGUCAGAGGUGAAAUUCUUGGAUUUAUUGAAGACUAACUACUGCGAAAGCAUUUGCCAAGGAUGUUUUUCAUUAAUCAAGAACGAAAGUUAGGGGAUCGAAGACGAUCAGAUACCGUCGUAGUCUUAACCAUAAACUAUGCCGACUAGGGAUCGGACGAAGUUAAUUUUAUAAUGACGCGUUC